AGAUGGAUUCCUACUGUGCUUUCUCAGCAGCUUCCUUCUGCUUCAUUUCCCAAACAAUUCUGCAGAAUCGCACAUGCCAUUUCCUGCAGACUCAACUUCAUGUUUACUGAAAAUAUGGCAGAGCAAUAAGCUAAAGGACAUCAAGAGGAAACAAGCAGACAAAAUCAGA